GGAGGGUUGAUGGCUCAGGGGUAGAGCAUUUGCUUGGCAUGAACAAGGUUCCAGGUCCAUUCCCUGGCAUCUCCA
rnacentral:tRNA from 1 species